UGAGUAACACGUAUCCAACCUGCCGUCUACUCUUGGACAGCCUUCUGAAAGGAAGAUUAAUACAAGAUGGCAUCAUGAGUCCGCAUGUUCACAUGAUUAAAGGUAUUCCGGUAGACGAUGGGGAUGCGUUCCAUUAGAUAGUAGGCGGGGUAACGGCCCACCUAGUCUUCGAUGGAUAGGGGUUCUGAGAGUAAGGUCCCCCACAUUGGAACUGAGACACGGUCCAA
rnacentral:rRNA from 1 species